AGGUGCCAGAUAUUCAUUUGAAGUAACAAGGAAAUAUUUUCUUGACUUAAUUUUGAGAAUUACAUUCUUUUGACACUCUUCAAAAAUAUGUAUUUUACUUCAUUUUUCUGUUACAUUUUAUAUACCCCUGUGAAAUGACUAGGGGUUGAUUAUACUGCAGGUCACUCCAUUCAUGCUUUGUAUAAUAAGUCAAAUUACAUUUUCAUUGACUUUUCAUGGAACUCUCAAACAUUUAAAAAAAAAAAUGAAAGAUGGCUUUAAAGAGGGUAUAUUUUGUCUGUGUCUUUUAAGAAUUAACUUGAGGCAGAUUUAUUUGAAUUUUCAUGUCAAUGAUGGCC
rnacentral:lncRNA from 1 species